GGAGCUAUCACUUUCUCAUCGUCUCUUCAACUCUUCUUCAUCACUACCUUCGCUAUUCAAUUCAAGAAUUAAGCUUUCACAAACCCAUCUCUUCUCCUUAAACAAUCAUCACCAAAAGUUGCAAUUUUUCACUGGUUUACACCACAAACUAGCUGCUUCAAUGGAACCUCAAACAACGAUUCCUCAUGCUUUCGAUAAUGGGUCUUCCAUAACUUCCUCUGAAACAGGUCGAAUUGGGGAAGUGAAGAGGACUACGAAAGAGACGAAUGUGCAUGUGAGGAUAAACUUGGAUGGAACUGGUGUUGCGGAGAAUAAUUCUGGGAUUCCAUUUCUUGAUCACAUGUUGGAUCAACUCGCUUCACAUGGGUUGUUCGACGUGCAUGUAAAAGCUACUGGCGACAUUCACAUCGAUGAUCACCACACAAAUGAAGAUGUCGCACUUGCCAUUGGAACUGCAUUGUUGCAAGCACUUGGAGAUAGAAAGGGAAUCAAUCGCUUUGGUGACUUCUCAGCUCCAUUGGAUGAAGCUCUGGUUCAUGUAUCACUGGAUUUAUCAGGAAGGCCACAUUUGAACUUUGAUGUACAAAUACCUACUCAGAGAGUUGGAACAUAUGACACUCAGCUGGUGGAACACUUCUUUCAGUCCUUGGUCAACACGUCUGGAAUGACGCUCCAUAUUCGACAGCUCGCUGGAAAAAAUUCUCAUCACAUCAUUGAAGCAACUUUCAAGGCGUUUGCUAGAGCUCUUCGGCAAGCA
rnacentral:misc_RNA from 1 species